rnacentral:piRNA from 1 species
UGUUGACUAAGUCAUCCCUUCAGCACAUGGU